AAUGAACGCUGGCGGCAGGCCUAACACAUGCAAGUCGAACGAGUGGCGGACGGGUGAGUAAUGUCUGGGAAACUGCCUGAUGGCGGGGGCUAACUACUGGAAACGGUAGCUAAUACCGCAUACCAUCAGCUGUGCCCAGAUGGGAUUAGCUAGUUGGUGGGGUAACGGCAGACCAAGGAGACGAUCCCUAGCUGGUCUGAGAGGAUGACCGGCCACACUGGAACUGAGCCACGGUCCAUACUCCUCCGUGAGGCAGCAGUGGGGAAGAUUGCACAAUGGGCGCAAGCAUGAUGCAGCCAUGCCGCGUGUAUGAAGAAGGCCUUCGGGUUGUAAAGUACUUUCAGCGGGGAGGCGGUACCCGCAGAAGAAGCACCGGCUAACUCCGUGCCAGCAGCCGCGGUAAUAC
rnacentral:rRNA from 1 species